GACUGGCUAGCUCAUUUGGCAGAGUAUGAGACUCUUAAUCUCAGGGACACAGUGGGUUCGUGUCCCACGUUAGGAA